GAAGCGGCAACAGCUCAAAUUUGAAAUCUGACCCUUUGGGGUCCGAGUUGUAAUUUGCAGAGGGUGUUUCGGGCACGGUGCCGGUUUAAGUCCUUUGGAACAGGGUGUCAUAGAGGGUGAGAACCCCGUAUGUGACCGGUCGCCAAACCUAUGUGAAACCCCUUCGACGAGUCGAGUUGUUUGGGAAUGCAGCUCAAAAUGGGUGGUAAAUUUCAUCUAAAGCUAAAUAUUGGCCAGAGACCGAUAGCGCACAAGUAGAGUGAUCGAAAGAUGAAAAGCACUUUGGAAAGAGAGUCAAACAGCACGUGAAAUUGUUGAAAGGGAAGCGCUUGCGACCAGACCUGCUCGCGGGUGAUCAGCGGUGCGUUUCGCGCCGUGCACUCAUCCGCGAUCAGGCCAGCAUCGGUUCAGGCGGCCGGAUAAAGACUCGGAGAAUGUAGCUCCCUCCGGGGAGUGUUAUAGCUCCUUGUGCAAUACGGCCAGCCGGGACCGAGGACCGCGCU
rnacentral:rRNA from 1 species